GUGGAAAUCACACUUUUAUUUUGAUCUCAAUGCCAGAGAACAAUGGACUGGAUAAUCACUGUGGCACUUUUCUGUUCAGUGCUAAAAGCUGCAGUCGGCUUUAAUGUUGAUUCUGGGGCUUGGAAAACCCUGACAGAAAAUGAUGAAAGUUUUGGAUACCAGGUGGUGCAAAGACAAUCAGAUCUGCUCGUCAGCGCCCCACUACUACAGUAUAAAGGGAAUAAAACGGGACGGACAUAUUGGUGCAACACAGGAGGCAAUUGCAGCAAUCUUGUUG